ensembl:snRNA U6 U6 spliceosomal RNA
GUGCUCGCUUCGGCAGCACACACACUAAAAUUGGAAUGAUACGGAGAAGAUUAGCACGGCCCCUGUGCCAGGAUAACAUGCAAAGUCAUCAAGCGUUCCUUAUUUUU